rnacentral:rRNA from 1 species
AACGAACGCUGGCGGCAGGCUUAACACAUGCAAGUCGAACGCCCCGCAAGGGGAGUGGCAGACGGGUGAGUAACGCGUGGGAACGUGCCCUUCGCUUCGGAAUAGCCCCGGGAAACUGGGAGUAAUACCGGAUACGCCGUAUUGGGAAAGAUUUAUCGGCGAAGGAUCGGCCCGCGUUGGAUUAGGUAGUUGGCGGUGUAAUGGACCACCAAGCCUACGAUCCAUAGCUGGUCUGAGAGGAUGAUCAGCCACACUGGGACUGAGACACGGCCCAGACUCCUACGGGAGGCAGCAGUGGGGAAUCUUGGACAAUGGGCGCAAGCUUGAUCCAGCCAUGCCGCGUGAGUGAAGAAGGCCUUAGGGUUGUAAAACUCUUUCGCCGGAGAAGAUAAUGACGGUAUCCGGAGAAGAAGCCCCGGCUAACUUCGUGCCAGCAGCCGCGGUAAAAC